GACGAACGCUGGCGGCGUGCUUAACACAUGCAAGUCGAGCGGUAAGGCCCUUUCGGGGUACGACGAGCGGCGAACGGGUAGGAGUAACACGUGGGUGGACCUCGCCCUCCAGCUCUGGGAGUAAGCCUCGGGAAACCGGGGUACCUAAUAACUGGAGUAUGACUCCAUGACGCAUGUUGGUGGGGUGGGAAAGCCUUGUGCGGCUGAGGA
rnacentral:rRNA from 1 species